rnacentral:rRNA from 1 species
AUUGAACGCUGGCGGCAUGCCUUACACAUGCAAGUCGAGCGGCGAGCACGGGGGCAACCCGUGGUGGCGAGUGGCGAACGGGUGAGUAAUGCAUACGGAACGUGCCCAGUAGUGGGGGAUAACUAGUCGAAAGAUUAGCUAAUACCGCAUACGGACCUACGGGUGAAAGCGGGGGAUGCAGCACUUAAUGUUUGGGAUGGCUACUUGUGGCCGCCUCGGGACAGUCUCAGGUUGAGAACAUUAAGUGCUGCACCUCGCGCUAUUGGAG